rnacentral:rRNA from 1 species
AGUGGCGGACGGGUGAGUAACGCGUGGAUAACCUGCCUCACACUGGGGGAUAACAGUUGGAAACGGCUGCUAAUACCGCAUAAGCGCACAGUACCGCAUGGUACCGUGUGUAAAACUCCGGUGGUAUGAGAUGGACCCGCGUCUGAUUAGGUAGUUGGUGGGGUAACGGCCUACCAAGCCGACGAUCAGUAGCCGACCCGAGAGGGUGACCGGCCACAUUGGGACUGAGACAUGGCCCAA